rnacentral:rRNA from 1 species
ACAUAGGGUGCAAGCGUUGUCCGGAAUUAUUGGGCGUAAAGAGCUCGUAGGUCGUUUGUCGCGUCGAUUGUGAAAAUCUGAGGCUCAACCUCAGACCUGCAGUCGAUACGGGCAAACUAGAGUGUGGUAGGGGAGACUGGAAUUCCUGGUGUAGCGGUGGAAUGCGCAGAUAUCAGGAGGAACACCAAUGGCGAAGGCAGGUCUCUGGGCCAUAACUGACACUGAGGAGCGAAAGUGCGGGGAGCGAACAGG